CAGCCGCCGCGGGAAUACGUAGGUGGCAAGCGUCGUCCGGAAUUAUUGGGCGUAAAGCGCGCGCAGGUGGUUUAAUAAGUCUGAUGUGAAAGCCCACGGCUCAACCGUGGAGGGUCAUUGGAAACUGUUAAACUUGAGUGCAGGAGAGAAAAGUGGAAUUCCUAGUGUAGCGGUGAAAUGCGUAGAGAUUAGGAGGAACACCAGUGGCGAAGGCGGCUUUUUGGCCCGUAACUGACACUGAGGCGCGAAAGCGUGGGGAGCAAACAGGAUUAGAUACCCCAGUAGUCCCUGUCUCUUAUAC
rnacentral:rRNA from 1 species